GACGAACGCUGGCGGCGUGCUUAACACAUGCAAGUCGAACGGAAAGGCCCUGCUUUUGUGGGGUGCUCGAGUGGCGAACGGGUGAGUAACACGUGAGUAACCUGCCCUUGACUUUGGGAUAACUUCAGGAAACUGGGGCUAAUACCGGAUAGGAGCUCCUGCUGCAUGGUGGGGGUUGGAAAGUUUCGGCGGUUGGGGAUGGACUCGCGGCUUAUCAGCUUGUUGGUGGGGUAGUGGCUUACCAAGGCUUUGACGGGUAGCCGGCCUGAGAGGGUGACCGGGCCACAUGGGAACUGGGUUACGGCCCAGACUCUUACGGGAGGAAGCGGUGGGAAUAUUGGAACAAGGGGCGGAGGCUGGUGGCAGCAAGCCGGGGGGCGGAAGGACGCCCUUGGGGUGGAAAACCGCUUUGGCUUGGAACGAGGGGUAGGUGCGGGUAAUGGUAAAGAAGCACCGGCUAACUACGUG
rnacentral:rRNA from 1 species